CCUACGGGAGGCAGCAGUAGGGAAUCUUCCACAAUGGGCGAAAGCCUGAUGGAGCAACGCCGCGUGGGUGAAGAAGGUCUUCGGAUCGUAAAACUCUGUUGUUAGAGAAGACAGUGCGUGAGAGUAACUGUUCACGUUUCGACGGUAUCUAACCAGAAAGCCACGGCUAACUACGUGCCAGCAGCCGCGGUAAUACGUAGGUGGCAAGCGUUAUCCGGAUUUAUUGGGCGUAAAGGGAACGCAGGCGGUCUUUUAAGUCUGAUGUGAAAGCCUUCGGCUUAACCGGAGUAGUGCAUUGGAAACUGGGAGACUUGAGUGCAGAAGAGGAGAGUGGAACUCCAUGUGUAGCGGUGAAAUGCGUAGAUAUAUGGAAGAACACCAGUGGCGAAAGCGGCUCUCUGGUCUGUAACUGACGCUGAGGUUCGAAAGCGUGGGUAGCAAACAGGAUUAGAUACCCCUGUAGUC
rnacentral:rRNA from 1 species